rnacentral:rRNA from 1 species
AACGAACGCUGGCGGCAGGCCUAACACAUGCAAGUCGAGCGAGGACUUCGGUCCUAGCGGCGGACGGGUGAGUAACGCGUGGGAACGUGCCCUUUGCUUCGGAAUAGCCCUGGGAAACUGGGAGUAAUACCGGAUGAGCCCUUUGGGGGAAAGAUUUAUCGGCGAAGGAUCGGCCCGCGUUGGAUUAGGUAGUUGGUGGGGUAAUGGCCUACCAAGCCGACGAUCCAUAGCUGGUUUGAGAGGAUGAUCAGCCACACUGGGACUGAGACACGGCCCAGACUCCUGCGGGAGGCAGCAGUGGGGAAUCUUAGACAAUGGGGGAAACCCUGAUCUAGCCAUGCCGCGUGAGCGAUGAAGGCCUUAGGGUUGUAAAGCUCUUUCAGCUGGGAAGAUAAUGACGGUACCAGCAGAAGAAGCCCCGGCUAACUCCGUG